AUUGAACGCUGGCGGCAGGCCUAACACAUGCAAGUCUAGCGGAUGAAGGGAGCUUGCUCCUGGAUUCAGCGGCGGACGGGUGAGUAAUGCCUAGGAAUCUGCCUGGUAGUGGGGGAUAACGUCCGGAAACGGGCGCUAAUACCGCAUACGUCCUGAGGGAGAAAGUGGGGGAUCUUCGGACCUCACGCUAUCAGAUGAGCCUAGGUCGGAUUAGCUAGUUGGUGGGGUAAAGGCCUACCAAGGCGACGAUCCGUAACUGGUCUGAGAGGAUGAUCAGUCACACUGGAACUGAGACACGGUCCAGACUCCUACGGGAGGCAGCAGUGGGGAAUAUUGGACAAUGGGCGAAAGCCUGAUCCAGCCAUGCCGCGUGUGUGAAGAAGGUCUUCGGAUUGUAAAGCACUUUAAGUUGGGAGGAAGGGCAGUAAGUUAAUACCUUGCUGUUUUGACGUUACCAACAGAAUAAGCACCGGCUAACUUCGUA
rnacentral:rRNA from 1 species